GUUGGUCAAGCGGUUAAGACACCGCCCUUUCACGGCGGUAACACGGGUUCGAAUCCCGUACGGGUCA
rnacentral:tRNA from 2 species